rnacentral:tRNA from 1 species
UAGCUCAGUGGUAGAGCACUGGUCUUGCAUGCCUGAGGCCCUGGGUUCGAUUCCUCAG